UACAGGGGGGGCAAGCGUUGUUCGGAAUCACUGGGCGUAAAGGGUGCGUAGGCGGGUCUUUAAGUCAGGGGUGAAAUCCUGGAGCUCAACUCCAGAACUGCCUUUGAUACUGAGGAUCUUGAGUUCGGGAGAGGUGAGUGGAACUGCGAGUGUAGAGGUGAAAUUCGUAGAUAUUCGCAAGAACACCAGUGGCGAAGGCGGCUCACUGGCCCGAUACUGACGCUGAGGCACGAAAGCGUGGGGAGCAAACAGG
rnacentral:rRNA from 1 species